CCUACGGGAUGCAGCAGUGAGGAAUAUUGGUCAAUGGACGGAAGUCUGAACCAGCCAUGCCGCGUGCAGGAUGACGGCUCUAUGAGUUGUAAACUGCUUUUGUACGAGAAUAAUAGUUCUUACGUGUAGGGUUUUGAAUGUAUCGUACGAAUAAGGAUCGGCUAACUCCGUGCCAGCAGCCGCGGUAAUACGGAGGAUUCGAGCGUUAUCCGGAUUUAUUGGUUUUAAAGGGUGCGUAGGCUGUCGGAUAAGUUAGCGGUCAAAUGGCGGGGCUUAACCCCGUGCCUGCCUUUGAUACUGGUAGACUAGAGAGCGGAUGAAGCAGGCGGAAUGAGGAGUGUAGCGGUGAAAUGCUUAGAUAUUACGAAGAACACCGAUUGCGAAGGCAGCUUGCUAAUCCGAAUCUGACGCUGAUGCACGAAAGCGUGGGUAGCGAACAGGAUUAGAUACCCGAGUAGUC
rnacentral:rRNA from 1 species